rnacentral:rRNA from 1 species
AUGCAUGUAUCGCAUUCAUAUGCAGGUGAUACUGAUAGUACAUAUAGUAAUCGAUGGAGCUUAAUUAGGGCAGCGGAAGUCUUUCGGCACUCUCUUGCCGCACUGGUUGACGAGCACCUCGAUGGCGAUGGGCAGCAAGAGGUUGAUGUUGAGGGCCUUGACCUUAAUGGUGGUGCAAAUGCAGAGAGCAGCGUCGAGAUCGGCAACGCCGGACAGCAGCGGGCAGCAUGUAUUGCUGGCACUACUGCCGAUCACCGUGUGCAACAGCCCAUUGAGCACGUCCACGCACGCACGCAGCUUUAG